GAUGAACGCUGGCGGCGUGCCUAAUACAUGCAAGUCGAGCGAACAGACGAGGAGCUUGCUCCUCUGACGUUAGCGGCGGACGGGUGAGUAACACGUGGAUAACCUACCUCUAAGACUGGGAUAACUUCGGGAAACCGGAGCUAAUACCGGAUAAUAUAUUGAACCGCAUGGUUCAAUAGUGAAUGACGGUUUUGCUGUCACUUAUAGAUGGAUCCGCGCCGCAUUAGCUAGUUGGUAAGGUAACGGCUUACCAAGGCGACGAUGCGUAGCCGACCUGAGAGGGUGAUCGGCCACACUGGAACUGAGACACGGUCCAGACUCCUACGGGAGGCAGCAGUAGGGAAUCUUCCGCAAUGGGCGAAAGCCUGACGGAGCAACGCCGCGUGAGUGAUGAAGGUCUUCGGAUCGUAAAACUCUGUUAUUAGGGAAGAACAAAUGUGUAAGUAACUAUGCACGUCUUGACGGUACCUAAUCAGAAAGCCACGGCUAACUACGUG
rnacentral:rRNA from 1 species